AUUGAACGCUGGCGGCAGGCCUAACACAUGCAAGUCGAACGAGUGGCGGACGGGUGAGUAAUGUCUGGGAAACUGCCUGAUGGAGGGGGAUAACUAAUGGAAACGGUAGCUAAUACCGCAUACCAUCAGAUGUGCCCAGAUGGGCUUAGCUAGUUGGUGGGGUAACGGCUCACAAAGGCGACGAUCCCGAGCUGGUCUGAGAGGAUGACCAGCCACACUGGAACUGAGACAGGGUCCAGACUCCUAGUGGAGGCAGCAGGGGGGAGUAUUGCACAAGGGGCGCAAGCUGGAUGCAGCCAGGCCGCGGGUAUGAAGAAGGCCUUGGGGUUGUAAAGUACUUGCAGCGGGGAGACGUUACCCGCAGAAGAAGCACCGGCUAACUCCGUGCCAGCCGCCGCGGUAUAC
rnacentral:rRNA from 1 species